GACGAACGCUGGCGGCGUGCUUAACACAUGCAAGUCGAACGGAAAGGCCCUGCUUUUGUGGGGUGCUCGAGUGGCGAACGGGUGAGUAACACGUGAGUAACCUGCCCUUGACUUUGGGAUAACUUCAGGAAACUGGGGCUAAUACCGGAUAGGAGCUCCUGCUGCAUGGUGGGGGUUGGAAAGUUUCGGCGGUUGGGGAUGGACUCGCGGCUUAUCAGCUUGUUGGUGGGGUAGUGGCUUACCAAGGCUUCGACGGGUAGCCGGCCUGAGAGGGUGACCGGCCACAUUGGGACUGAGAUACGGCCCAGACUCCUACGGGAGGCAGCAGUGGGGAAUAUUGCACAAUGGGCGGAAGCCUAAUGCAGCAACGCCGCGUGCGGGAUGACGGCCUUCGGGUUGUAAACCGCUUUCGCCUGUGACGAAGCGUGAGUGACGGUAAUGGGUAAAGAAGCACCGGCUAACUACGUG
rnacentral:rRNA from 1 species